GAACGGUAACAGGAAGAAGCUUGCUUCUUUGCUGACGAGUGGCGGACGGGUGAGUAAUGUCUGGGAAACUGCCUGAUGGAGGGGGAUAACUACUGGAAACGGUAGCUAAUACCGCAUAACGUCGCAAGACCAAAAAGGGGGACCUUCGGGCCUCUUGCCAUCGGAUGUGCCCAGAUGGGAUUAGCUAGUAGGUGGGGUAACGGCUCACCUAGGCGACGAUCCCUAGCUGGUCUGAGAGGAUGACCAGCCACACUGGAACUGAGACACGGUCCAGACUCCUACGGGAGGCAGCAGUGGGGAAUAUUGCACAAUGGGCGCAAGCCUGAUGCAGCCAUGCCGCGUGUAUGAAGAAGGCCUUCGGGUUGUAAAGUACUUUCAGCGGGGAGGAAGGGAGUAAAGUUAAUACCUUUGCUCAUUGACGUUACCCGCAGAAGAAGCACCGGCUAACUCCGUG
rnacentral:rRNA from 1 species